rnacentral:pre_miRNA from 1 species
AAAGUACUCCCUCCGUCCCAAAAUUCUUGUCUUAGAUUUGUCUAGAUAUGGAUGUAUCAAGUCACAUUUUAGUAUUAGAUACAUCCGUAUCUAGACAAAUCUAAGACAAGAAAUUUGGGACAGAGGGAUUAGUUG